GACGAACGCUGGCGGCGUGCCUAACACAUGCAAGUCGAACGGAGUAAGACGCUGAUUUGAUAGCUUCGGCAGGAUUUUCUUGUCUUACUUAGUGGCGGACGGGUGAGUAACGCGUGAGCAACCUGCCUUCGAGAGGGGAAUAACGUUCUGAAAAGAACGCUAAUACCGCAUGACAUAUCGGUGCCGCAUGACACUGAUAUCAAAGAUUUAUCGCUCGAAGAUGGGCUCGCGUCCGAUUAGGUAGUUGGUGAGGUAACGGCUCACCAAGCCGACGAUCGGUAGCCGGACUGAGAGGUUGAACGGCCACAUUGGGACUGAGACACGGCCCAG
rnacentral:rRNA from 1 species